UGGGGAAUAUUGGACAAUGGGCGCAAGCCUGAUCCAGCCAUGCCGCGUGAGUGAUGAAGGCCCUAGGGUUGUAAAGCUCUUUCACCGGUGAAGAUAAUGACGGUAACCGGAGAAGAAGCCCCGGCUAACUUCGUGCCAGCAGCCGCGGUAAUACGAAGGGGGCUAGCGUUGUUCGGAUUUACUGGGCGUAAAGCGCACGUAGGCGGACUUUUAAGUCAGGGGUGAAAUCUCGGGGCUCAACCCCGGAACUGCCUUUGAUACUGGAAGUCUUGAGUAUGGUAGAGGUGAGUGGAAUUCCGGGUGUAGAGGUGAAAUUCGUAGAUAUUCGGAGGAACACCAGUGGCGAAGGCGGCUCACUGGACCAUUACUGACGCUGAGGUGCGAAAGCGAGGGGAGCAAACAGG
rnacentral:rRNA from 1 species